GCUAUACAGAAGGGUAGCACAUAGUCCCUGCUACUGAGGAGGCUGAAGCUGGUAAAUUCCUUGAACUCAGGAGUUUUGAGCUACUGUGUGCUAAAGCUAAAUGGAUGUCCAUUUUAAGUCCAGUACCAAUAUGGUGAGCCCCUGGGAGCAGGGGCCACCAGGCUGCCUAAGGAGGCAGGUUCAGCUUGGAAACAGAGCAGGUCAAAGCUUCUGUGGUGAUAAACAGUGGGAUCAGUUCUGUGAGUUGCCCCUGUACUUCCAGCUUGAGCAAGAUAGACAGAAUCCC
ensembl:misc_RNA Metazoa_SRP Metazoan signal recognition particle RNA